rnacentral:rRNA from 1 species
GAUGAACGCUAGCUACAGGCUUAACACAUGCAAGCCGAGGGGAAACGACAUUGAAGCUUGCUUCGAUGGUCGUCGACCGGCGCACGAGUGAGUAACGCGUAUCCAACCUGCCUCUGACCAAGGGAUAACCCGUCGAAAGUCGGACUAAUACCUUAUGCAGUCGUCGGAAGUCAUCUGAUGACGACGAAAGAUCUCAUCGGUGAGAGAUGGGGAUGCGUCUGAUUAGCUUGUUGGCGGUGUAACGGCCCACCAAGCCUACGAUCAGUAGGGGUUCUGAGAGGAAGGUCCCCCACAUCGGAACUGAGACACGGUCCAAACUCAUACGGGAGGCAGCAGUGAGGAAUAUUGGCCAAUGGGCGGGAGCAUGAACCAGCCAAGUAGCGUGCAGGAUGACGGCCCUAUGGGUUGUAAACUGCUUUUAUGCGGGGAUAAAGUGAGGGACGUGUCCUUCAUUGCAGGUACCGCAUGAAUAAGGACCGGCUAAUUCCGUGCCAGCAGCCGCGGUAAUACGGAAGGUCCAGGGGUUAUCCGGAUUUAUUGAGUUUAAAGGGUGCGUAGGCCCAUCUAUCAGUCAGGAAAGAAAGACGGUCAUCAACCAUCUCAGUGCCCUUGAUAAGGAUGAGCUCGAAUACACUAGAGGUAGUCCGAAUGUCACAAGCAGCGGGGAAAUGCAUAGAUAAGUCGCAGAACACUGAUUGAGAAGGCAGCCUAGUAUGGAGUUAUUUUCGCUUAGGCACGAAAGCGUGGGGCUCAAACAGG